AUUGAACGCUGGCGGCAUGCCUAACACAUGCAAGUCGAGCGAACGGCGGACGGGUGCGGAAUGCAUGGGGACUGCCCUAUAGUGGCGGAUAACUACUUGAAACGUUAGCUAUUGCCGCAUACUAUCAGAGAACCCAUGUGGGAUUAGCUAGUUGGUGAGGUAAUGGCUUACCUAGGCGACGAUGCCUAGUUGCACUGAGAGAAUGAUCCGCCACAUUGGGACUGAGACACGGCCCAGACUCCUACGGAGGCAGCAGUAGGGAAUAUUGCACAAUGGGCGAAAGCCUGAUGCAGCAAGGCCGCGUGUAUGAAGAAGGCUCUAGGGUUGUAAAGUACUUUCAGUCGGGAGGCGUUAACGAAAGAGGAAGCAACGGCUAACUACGUGCCAGCCGCCGCGGUAAUAC
rnacentral:rRNA from 1 species